GCCGGAGUGGCGGAAUGGCAGACGCGGUGGACUCAAAAUCCAUUGUAGGCAACUACGUGAGGGUUCAAAUCCCUCCUCCGGCACCA
rnacentral:tRNA from 1 species